AGGCUGUGUACCGGUACAGCCUUGAUGGUUGUACCGGUACAGGAUUUGUACCGGUACUCUUUGAUGGUUGUACCGGUACAGUUGAGAUUUUCUGCGAACCCGAGGCUUCGGUUUGCUGUCGAGCAGGAUUUGUACCGGUACACUUUUCCGUAUACCUGUCACGCCCCGGGACCGAUUUUAAAAAUCUUUUUUUUAAAAACACAGUUGCGGAAAACGUGUCAUUUUUUUUUUUUUUUCAACCUGGCCCACGCGACGUACAGACCCGCCACAAAUACAAAGUUCCUCUAUCCACUCGGACAGAGUCUCCUUUGUAUUUGCACGGCGUACCAGCUAUACAACAGGAUCUCAACCACAACCUACAUUUACCAAUCAACAAGCAAAGCAUGAUAUGCAUUUCCAUACAGCUAACAAUCCUUAGAAUGAUGCAUGCCUCUAAGCACUCCUUAGGCGCUGGAUGAUGCAAUGCACAAUACAACAAACAUCCUAUUUAAAAGUGCUCCCCACACGGAAGCUUUUGUUUUUAAACUCUAAUUCAAUCAUUCAUAAAAACCAUUCGAAAACCUUUUUAAAACUGUUUCCCACACGGAAACUCUAUUUUGAAAACCGACUACCUCGAGGGGUAGAAAACCACGAUGCAUAACUACAAGAAAACCAAAUCUCCACAGAACCAAAACCACAGAUCGAAAACUCCAAUCUCAUAUAUACGAGGAAAACCAACACCACAGUUCACAUACAUUCAAGCAUACAUAAGAUCAGCUAACUGAACCAUUAUUAAGAAAACUACUAAGUGCGGGAAAGAAAUAACCAGGGUGACGGUCGCUACUGCCGUCUAGCUAGAUCGUCCUCUCGUCGAGCCCAAAAACCAACUCCUCGUCUCUGUCACCUGGGGGGGAAAAGGGGGGUGAGAAACCGCAACCAUGGUUUUCUCAGUGGGUACGACAGAGCCACGAAGGCAAGUCGUAAUCACCGGAAACCAAAGGAGAUAGAUAAACAAGUAUAUAUGUAAGCUGAUAUGAAAUAGAACUACAGUAGCUACAACAGAUAAAUAGGAAGCAAUAAAUGAACCUGCUACUGUAUAGAAAAUAAUGCAAAGAAUGCCUCAAUGUACUGAACCAGAAACUGUACCCAAUCUGUGCCUGCUAUAUUGGUCCGCAGACCUCAAGCGCUGCCUGUCACUAACUGCACCGACCUGAUCCAUCCGCCCCGCAGGACGACCCAUCCGGAUAAGUACACCUCCGAUCGGUGGCCAAACCGAUCCGGUGUCAUGAAUACCCCCAAGUGCCGUGACUAAGUCAUGCUGGUAUGCUCAAACAAAAACAAACCCGGCUAAAGCCGGUGCCUAGGCCGAAGCCAACAACGAGGGCGUACAAUGCCAAACUGAAAUAGAAGCUAGGGCGUACAACGCCGAACUGAAAUAGAUGCUAGGGCGUACAACGCCAAACCUCGAUCAACCAGAUCGAAACACACGACAGGAGAGUCGAUGUGUUGCCUGGACCCAAGGUCCACAGAGAUACUGAAAUACAAAUGCAACCUGCUCUACAUGUCUAUCAAUCACUAACCAAUGCAGUCAACGAAAUACGAUAACCAAACGAUAACCAAACAACUGACAUGUAGAGCUAAUAUACUGGAAUAGAAAAACAGGAGAAGGAGGUGAAACGCUCUCACCGACUACUAGCUCGAAGCACCCACCUGUCACUGUCGCGUUGGAACACUGGGUACGCACAGAGUCUACCGGACCUAAGAAGAUCCACCAAGUCAGUAUCCAAUCCACUAACCCAAAGCACGAGACUCACAAACCCCCACACAGGAUCCCCGUAAUCGGUUUCCCAAAACCGACUACCGUAACUCACCGGAAGUCCCGAAAACCACACCGGGACGCCGUCGGGAUCCACUAAGUGUCCCGAACUCACCGACUCGUGUCACGAGUCACCCGCUGCCCCAAAGCACUCCAAUUUGGAUGCCUUGGCAGCGAACACAAGGUCACACAACAAUACGAUCAUCGCCGGAUAAUCGUACGAAUCCGGGUUCCCGGAAGUGUCUAUUUCGACACCAGAACCCUCCGUCGCUCACCUAUCAUCAUCGAACCCACAAAAUGACGAUGGUGACCAGCCAACAAGGCUCAGCGACAAAACACGAAGCAACAAAACACCGUCGGAAAGAAUCCGAACCGAAACCGCGUUCUUUCGGCGAAUUUCGCUGAAAAACGCACCGAAAUCGACCUACCGAUUUCCGCGAAAGCUAACGGACCAUGGACGAUCAGUCCAGCGGUCAUUACAAACUCCCACACACUGCCCAC
rnacentral:lncRNA from 1 species